UAGAAUGUGGCUCAGUGGUAGAGUGCCUGUCUAGUACAGGAAGCCCUGGGUUAGAGUCCCAGAAUCAUAU
rnacentral:tRNA from 1 species